AUACGUAGGGGGCGAGCGUUGUCCGGAAUGAUUGGGCGUAAAGGGCGCGUAGGCGGCGCGGUAAGUCUGGAGUGAAAGUCCUGCUUUCGAGGUGGGAAUUGCUUUGGAUACUGUCGGGCUUGAGUGCAGGAGAGGUAAGUGGAAUUCCCAGUGUAGCGGUGAAAUGCGUAGAGAUUGGGAGGAACACCAGUGGCGAAGGCGACUUACUGGACUGUAACUGACGCUGAGGCGCGAAAGUGUGGGGAGCAAACAGGAUUAGAUACCCUGGUAGUCCACACUGUAAACGAUGAAUGCUAGGUGUAGGGGGUAUCGACCCCUUCUGUGCCGCAGUCAACACGAUAAGCAUUCCGCCUGGGGAGUACGGCCGCAAGGUUGAAACUCAAAUGAAUUGACGGGG
rnacentral:rRNA from 1 species